UAGAUACUCCCUCCGUCCGGAAAUACUCGUCGGAGGAAUGGAUGUAUCUAGAUGUAUUUUAGUUCUACAUACAUUCAUUUUUAUGCAUUUCUCCGACAAGUAUUUUCGGACGGAGGGAGUACUAU
rnacentral:pre_miRNA from 1 species